rnacentral:pre_miRNA from 1 species
GUGGUACUCCCUCCGUCCGAAAAUACUUGUCAUCAAAAUGGACAAAAAAGAAUGUAUCUAAAACUAAAAUACAUCUAGAUACAUCAUCUUUUAUUCAUUUUGAUGACAAGUAUUUCCGGACGGAGGGAGUAAAAU